rnacentral:sRNA from 1 species
GUCGUGAGAUGUUGGGUUAAGUCCCGCAACGAGCGCAACCCUUGCCCUUAGUUACCAGCGGAUAAUGCCGGGGACUCUAGGGGGACUGCCGGUGCCAAACCGGAGGAAGGUGGGGACGACGUCAAGUCAUCAUGGUCCUUACGUCUAGGGCUACACACGUGCUACAAUGGCAGGUACAGAGGGCUGCGAAACAGCAAUGUCGAGCCAAUCCCUAAAGCCUGCCUCAGUUCGGAUUGUCGUCUGCAACUCGACGGCAUGAAGCUGGAAUCGCUAGUAAUCGUGGAUCAGCGACGCCACGGUGAAUACGUUCCCGGGCCUUGUACACACCGCCCGUCACGCCAUGGAAGCUGUGAGCGCCCGAAGUCGGUGUCGGAACCCGCAAGGGACCAAGCCGCCUAAGGCGAGCGCAGUGACUGGGGCGAAGUCGUAACAAGGUAGCCGUAGGGGAACCUGCGGCUGGAUCACCUCCUUUCCGGAGCGAUGAGUAGGACGCCGUGAUCGCAAGAUUGCGUGGCGGUCUGAAAGUCCCGGAUUUUGUCGCUCGCUCUGCACGUUUCAAAUCUCGAGUUCGAUUGGCAACGGCGCGCCAAAGCUUCGGCUUUUUGGCGACAUGCUGUUUGACAACGGAAAAUGGAAGUGAUCGUGGGUACUUCAGUCAGUGUAUUGUCGGUAACGGCGAUGGCAUUGGCUGCAAGGACGAAGAACCUCAGUGAGGCGAAGUGCUAUAACCGUGUGAAGCGAAAGCUUCUACGGGUAAAACGCUUGCGCAACACGUGAAGUAUCUGAAAGUAUGAAGUGCUUUGCUUGAACGCAUAUUUCUCAGCAAUGGGAAAGAGCCAAGCGAAUGAAGGUAUGUGGGGGAUGCCUGGGCACAUAGAGGCGAUGAAGGCCGUGGUAAGCUGCGAUAAGCUCGGGGGAGCGGCACACACGCAUUGAUCCCGAGAUGG